rnacentral:rRNA from 1 species
CCUACGGGUUGCAGCAGUGGGGAAUAUUGGACAAUGGGCGAAAGCCUGAUCCAGCAAUGCCGCGUGUGUGAAGAAGGUCUUCGGAUUGUAAAGCACUUUCGACGAGGACGAUGAUGACGGUACCCGUAGAAGAAGCCCCGGCUAACUUCGUGCCAGCAGCCGCGGUAAUACGAAAGGGGCUAGCGUUGCUCGGAAUGACUGGGCGUAAAGGGCGCGUAGGCGGUUGAUGCAGUCAGAUGUGAAAUCCCCGGGCUUAACCUGGGAACUGCAUUUGAGACGCAUUGACUAGAGUUCGAGAGAGGGUUGUGGAAUUCCCAGUGUAGAGGUGAAAUUCGUAGAUAUUGGGAAGAACACCGGUGGCGAAGGCGGCAACCUGGCUCGAUACUGACGCUGAGGCGCGAAAGCGUGGGGAGCAAACAGGAUUAGAUACCCCAGUAGUC